AGUGAACGCUGGCGGUAGGCCUAACACAUGCAAGUCGAACGGCAGCACAGUAAGAGCUUGCUCUUACGGGUGGCGAGUGGCGGACGGGUGAGGAAUACAUCGGAAUCUACUUUUUCGUGGGGGAUAACGUAGGGAAACUUACGCUAAUACCGCAUACGACCUACGGGUGAAAGCAGGGGAUCUUCUGACCUUGCGCGAUUGAAUGGGCCGAUGUCGGAUUAGCUAGUUGGCGGGGUAAAGGCCCACCAAGUCGACGAUCCGUAGCUGGUCUGAGUGGAUGAUCGGCCACACUGGAACUGAGACACGGUCCAGACUCCUACGGGAGGCAGCAGUGGGGAAUAUUGGACAAUGGGGGCAAGCCUGAUCCAGCCAUACCGCGUGGGUGAAGAAGGCCUUCGGGUUGUAAAGCCCUUUUGUUGGGAAAGAAAAGCAGCAGGUUAAGACCACGCUGUUCUGACGGUACCCAAAGAAUAAGCACCGGCUAACUUCGUG
rnacentral:rRNA from 1 species